GAACAAGCUACACAGAGGACAGGGUGGAUGCCUUGGCGCUGAAGGCCGAAGAAGGACGCGGAGACCGGCGAAACGUUCCGGGGGAGCUGCAUGCAAGCGAUGAGCCCGGAGAUUCCCAAUGGGGCAACCCCUCCAGAGUGAUGUCUGGAGACCGCCUGCUGAACACAUAGGCAGUGACGGGGGGCAGUGGGUGAACUGAAACAUCUCAGUAGCCCGACGAGAAGAAAUCAAACGAGAUUCCCGUAGUAGUGGCGAGCGAAACGGGAGGAGCCCAAACCAGGCGCUCUUUCGGGAGCGACUGGGGUUGUAGGACCAGUAACACGAUCUAACGGAUGUACUCCAACAUGCUGGAACGCAUGGCCAGAGCAGGUGAGAGCCCAUUCGAGAGACCAUCGGUGAGAUCCGGCUGGCAUCCUGAGUACCACGAACCCCGGUGAGUUUGUGGGAAGCUGGGGGGACCACCCUCCAAGGCUCAAUACCUUCAGCGACCGAUAGUGAACCAGUACCGUGAGGGAAAGGUGAAAAGCACCCCGCAAGGGGGAUGAAAGAGACCCUGAACCCCUGUCCUCACCAGCAGUCAGAGGCCACUGUCCGCUUGGCGGACCAAGGGCUGAUGGCGUGCCUUUUGUAGAAUGAUCCGGCGAGUGCAUGCGCGUCGCCCGGUUAACCUGCGCUAAAGCAGGGGAGCCACAGGGCAACCGAGUCCCAAAUGGGCGCUACUGUGGCGCGCAUGCGACCCGAAACCACGUGAGCUAUCCAUGGGCAGAGUGAAGCGGAUGUGACAGUCCGUCGAGGCUCGAACUCACCAGUGUUGCAAAACUGGGGGAUGACCUGUGGAUAGGGGUGAAAUGCUAAUCGAACGUGGAGAUAGCUGGUUCUCCCCGAAAUGCAUUGAGGUGCAGCCACACGUCAAGACGAUCCUGGAGGUAGAGCGCUGGAUGGGCUCGGGGCCAAGUGCUGGUUACCAACCCCAACCAAACUGCGAAUGCCAGGACCGCGUGCGUGUGAGUGAGACGAUGGGGGCUAAGCUUCAUCGUCAAAAGGGAAACAGCCCAGACCACCAGCUAAGGUCUCUCAAUCGAUGCUCAGUGUCAAAGGCCGUUCGUGCGCACAGACAGCCAGGAUGUUGGCUUAGAAGCAGCCAUCAUUGAAAGAGUGCGUAAUAGCUCACUGGUCGAGUGCACGGGCACCGACAACGUAGCGAGGCUCAAGCAUCGUACCGAAGCUGUGGAUGGGACUCUCGACAGAGAGCCCAUGGUAGGGGAGCGUUCUCUGGGCCGAGAAGCCCGACCGCAAGGACGGGUGGAGCGCAGAGAAGAGCGAAUGCCGGAAUGAGUAGCGUCAUGCGUGUGAGAACCACGCACACCGCAAGCCUGAGGGUUCCUGGGCAACGUCAAUCGACCCAGGGUGAGUCGGGUCCUAAGCCGAGGACAUUACGUCGUAGGCGAUGGCAAGCAGGGCAUGAUGAUCCUGCACCAGAGCGCAUCGUUACGGAGCGAAGGGGGGACGCGGUAGGGGACAUGAACCCAUCGAAUGGACAGGAUGGGCUGCCCGUCUGGAGUGCGCGCGCCAGGAAAAACCGGCGCGCACGAGCAUGACGGCGGGCACGAGCCUGCGCAAGCGGGCGGAAGUCAUGGACCCCCAGGCCGCCCAGAAAAGCCUCUAGCUAGAUGCGUCUCUGCCCGUACCGCAAACCGACACAGGUAGGCCGGGGGAAGACCCCCAAGGUGAACGAGUGAACCUCUGUCAAGGAACUCGGCAACAUGACCCCGUACCUUUGGAAGAAGGGGUGCCCUAGUAGCUUCGCUGUCUCAGACAGCGGGGUGAGGGGGUCGCAGGAAAUGGGCUCAAGCGACUGUUUACCAAAAACACAGGUCUCUGCCAACGCGCAAGCGGAAGUAUAGGGGCUGACUCCUGCCCAGUGCCGGAAGGUUAAAGGGAGUGGUGAUCGUAGCCACGAACUGAAGCCCCGGUGAACGGCGGCCGUAACUAUAACGGUCCUAAGGUAGCGAAAUUCCUUGUCGGGUAAGUUCCGACCCGCACGAAGGGAGUAACGACUUGAGCGCUGUCUCGACAGGGGGCUCGGCGAAAUUGAAGGACCCGUGAAGAUACGGGUUACCCACGACAGGACAAAAAGACCCCGUGGAGCUUUACUACAGCUUGGCCUGGAGACGAGGCGAUGGCUACGUAGGAUAGGUGGGAGCCAGAGAAGUCCCCCUCGCGGGGGGGAUGGAGGCGACGGUGAAAUACCACUUUGCCAUGGUGUUGCCUCUCAUGCUGGACCGUGAGCCGGCCAGCAGACAGGGCCAGGCGGGUAGUUUGACUGGGGCGGUCGCCUCCUAAAAAGUAACGGAGGCGCCCAAAGGUUCCCUCAGGGUGGAUGGACAUCACCCGCAGAGAGUGUAAAGGCAGAAGGGAGCUUGACUGCAAGGCCAACACGCCGAGCAGGGACGCAAGUCGGGCUUAGUGAUCCCACAUUCCCGAGUGGAAGGAGUGUGGCUCAACGGAUAAAAGCUACCCCGGGGAUAACAGGCUUAUCCUGCCCAAGAGUUCACAUCGACGGCAGGGUUUGGCACCUCGAUGUCGGCUCGUCGCAUCCUGGGGCUGGAGUAGGUCCCAAGGGUUGGGCUGUUCGCCCAUGAAAGCGGCACGCGAGCUGGGUUCAGAACGUCGCGAGACAGUUCGGUCUCUAUCCGUCGUGGGCGCAGGAAGAUUGAGGGUCGUCAUCUCCAGUACGAGAGGACCGAGAUGGCUCGACCGCUGGUGAGCCAGUUGGGGUGCCCACCCCACCGCUGGAUAGCUACGUCGAGAAAGGAGAAGCGCUGAAAGCAUCUAAGCGCGAAGCCGCCCCCAAGAUAAGU
rnacentral:rRNA from 1 species